rnacentral:rRNA from 1 species
UACGAAGGGGGCUAGCGUUGCUCGGAAUCACUGGGCGUAAAGCGCACGUAGGCGGCUUUUUAAGUCAGGGGUGAAAUCCUGGAGCUCAACUCCAGAACUGCCUUCGAUACUGAAGAGCUUGAGUCCGGGAGAGGUGAGUGGAACUGCGAGUGUAGAGGUGAAAUUCGUAGAUAUUCGCAAGAACACCAGUGGCGAAGGCGGCUCACUGGCCCGGUACUGACGCUGAGGUGCGAAAGCGUGGGGAGCAAACAGG